UGGGGAAUUUUGGACAAUGGGGGAAACCCUGAUCCAGCCAUCCCGCGUGUGCGAUGAAGGCCUUCGGGUUGUAAAGCACUUUUGGCAGGAAAGAAACGUCAUGGGUUAAUACCCCGUGAAACUGACGGUACCUGCAGAAUAAGCACCGGCUAACUACGUGCCAGCAGCCGCGGUAAUACGUAGGGUGCAAGCGUUAAUCGGAAUUACUGGGCGUAAAGCGUGCGCAGGCGGUUCGGAAAGAAAGAUGUCAAAUCCCAGAGCUCAACUUUGGAACUGCAUUUUUAACUACCGGGCUAGAGUGUGUCAGAGGGAGGUGGAAUUCCGCGUGUAGCAGUGAAAUGCGUAGAUAUGCGGAGGAACACCGAUGGCGAAGGCAGCCUCCUGGGAUAACACUGACGCUCAUGCACGAAAGCGUGGGGAGCAAACAGG
rnacentral:rRNA from 1 species